rnacentral:rRNA from 1 species
CCGCGGGAGUGAUGAAGGCCUUCGGGUCGUAAAACUCUGUCCUCAAGGAAGAUAAUGACGGUACUUGAGGAGGAAGCCCCGGCUAACUACGUGCCAGCAGCCGCGGUAAUACGUAGGGGGCUAGCGUUAUCCGGAUUUACUGGGCGUAAAGGGUGCGUAGGCGGUCUUUCAAGGCAGGAGUGAAAGGCUACGGCUCAACCGUAGUAAGCUCUUGAAACUGGGAGACUUGAGUGCAGGAGAGGAGAGUGGAAUUCCUAGUGUAGCGGUGAAAUGCGUAGAUAUUAGGAGGAACACCAGUUGC